rnacentral:rRNA from 1 species
ACGAACGCUGGCGGUAUGCUUAACACAUGCAAGUCGAACGGGCAUAGCAAUAUGUCAGUGGCAAACGGGUGAGUAAUGCAAAGGAACCUCCCCAACAGUAAGGGAUAACUUCGAGAAAUCGAAGCUAAUACCAUAUAUUACCCCGCAAGGGGGAAAGAUUUAUCGCUGUUGGAUGGGCCUUUGUCGGAUUAGCUAGUUGGUAGGGUAAUGGCCUACCAAGGCGAUGAUCCGUAGCUGGUCUGAGAGGAUGAUCAGCCACACUGGAACUGAGACACGGUCCAGACUCCUACGGGAGGCAGCAGUGGGGAAUAUUGGACAAUGGGCGCAAGCCUGAUCCAGCAAUACCGCGUGAGUGAUGAAGGUCUUCGGAUUGUAAAGCUCUUUUAGUGAGGAAGAUAAUGACGGUACUCACAGAAAAAGCACCGGCUAACUUCGU